rnacentral:rRNA from 1 species
GUGUCAGCAGCCGCGGUAAGACAGAGGGUGCAAACGUUGUUCGGAAUUACUGGGCGUAAAGCGCGUGUAGGCUGCCCGUAAAGUCGGAUGUGAAAGCCCUGGGCUCAACCUGGGAAGUGCAUUCGAUACUCACGGGCUGGAGUUCUGGAGAGGAAGGCGGAAUUCUCGGUGUAGAGGUGAAAUUCGUAGAUAUCGAGAGGAACACCUGUGGCGAAGGCGGCCUUCUGGACAGAAACUGACGCUGAGACGCGAAAGCGUGGGGAGCAAACAGGAUUAGAUACCCUGGUAGUCCACGCCGUAAACGAUGGGUGCUAGGUGUCGCGGGCUUUGACCCCUGCGGUGCCGUAGCUAACGCCUUAAGCACCCCGCCUGGGAAGUACGGCCGCAAGGCUAAA